rnacentral:rRNA from 1 species
UGUAAGCGUAUACCGAAGUUGUUGCAGUUAAAACGCUCGUAGUCGGAAUUUGGCAGUUCCGGAUGUGUGCACGUCGUGUGCGCACUUCGCGGGGAUUGCUUUUGUGGUCUUGCGUAGGAUGAGGCACUUUUAUUAGUGAACGUCCUCACGCAACCACUUUUUACUGUGAGAAAAUCAGAGUGCUCAAAGCAGGCAUCUGCCGUGAAUGUAUUAGCAUGGAAUAAUAGAAUAGGACUUGGUUCUAUUUUGUUGGUUUGUUGGGACUGAGUAAUGAUUAAGAGGGACAGUUGGGGGCAUUUGUAUUUCGGUGCUAGAGGUGAAAUUCUUAGAUUACCGAAAGACAAACUGCUGCGAAAGCGUCUGCCAAGGAUGUUUUCAUUGA